GAGACACCCUUCUGGGGCAAGACCUGCUUCAGUGGGGCUUUGGUGCUCACUGAGUCUGCCCCCUGAGUGUGUCCCU
rfam:Myotis lucifugus cont2.17344, whole genome shotgun sequence.